rnacentral:rRNA from 1 species
AUUGAACGCUGGCGGCAUGCUUUACACAUGCAAGUCGAACGGCAGCGCGGGCUUCGGCCUGGCGGCGAGUGGCGAACGGGUGAGUAAUACAUCGGAAUCGUGCCCAGUAGUGGGGGAUAGCUCGGCGAAAGCCGGAUUAAUACCGCAUACGACCUGAGGGUGAAAGCGGGGGAUCUUCGGACCUCGCGCUAUUGGAGCGGCCGAUGGCAGAUUAGCUAGUUGGUGGGGUAAAGGCCUACCAAGGCGACGAUCUGUAGCUGGUCUGAGAGGACGACCAGCUACACUGGGACUGAGACACGGCCCAGACUCCUACGGGAGGCAGCAGUGGGGAAUUUUGGACAAUGGGCGAAAGCCUGAUCCAACAAUGCCGCGUGUGUGAUGAAGGCCUUCGGCUUGUGAAGCUUCU